AGCGGGGAGUAUUCCGCAAUGGGCGAAAGCCUGACGGAGCGACGCCGCGUGCAGGAAGACGCUUUUCGGAGUGUAAACUGCUUUUAUCCCGAAAAAAUAUGAUGGUACGGGAUGAAUAAGGACCUGCUAACUACGUGCCAGCAGCAGCGGUGAUACGUGGGGUCCGAGCGUUGUCCGGAAUUACUGGGCGUAAAGAGCUCGUAGGCGGUUUGACAAGUUUUGGGUUAAAGCCUUGGGCUUAACUCAAGAAAGGCUCAAAAUACUGUCAGACUAGAGUCAGUCAGGGGCAAGUGGAAUUCCUGGUGUAGCAGUGAAAUGCGUUGAUAUCAGGAAGAACACCAAUGGCGAAGGCAGCUUGCUAUGGCUGUACUGACGCUGAGGAGCGAAAGCGUGGGUAGCGAACGGGAUUAGAUACCCCGGUAGUCCACGCCGUAAACGAUGCAGACUAGGCAUUGGGAGCAUCGACCCUCUUUGUGCCGAAGCUAACGCGUUAAGUCUGCCGCCUGGGAAGUACGACCACAAGGUUAAAACUCAAAGGAAUUGGCGGGGACUCGCACAAGCGGUGGAACAUGAGGUUUAAUUCGACAAUAAGCGAAGAACCUUACCAGGGCUUGACAUCUCUGGAACCUGCUGGAAACAGUGGGGUGCCCCUUUCUUAUAACAAUGCCAUUUUUAAUGGUCUGAUUGAUUGCAAAUUUUUAUUUGGCAGUCAGUCGGUUAAACUUGUUAUAGGUAAGGGGAGCCAGAUGACAGGUGCUGCACGGCUGUCGUCAGCUCGUGUCGUGAGAUUUUCGGUUAAGUCCGAUAACGAGCGCAACCCCUAUGAUGUGUUACUUGUGUCACAUCAGACUGCCUGGGUUAACCGGGAGGAAGGUGGGGAUGACGUCAAGUCAGCGUGGCUUUUACGCUCUGGGCGACACUCGUGUUACAAUGGCGGCUACAAAGGGUUGCAAAACCGCAAGGUUGAGCUAAUCCCCAAAAGUCGUCUCAGUUCGGAUUGGAGGCUGCAACUCGCCUCCAUGAAGCCGGAAUCGCUAGUAACCGUGGGUCAGCCAUACCACGGUGAAUACGU
rnacentral:rRNA from 1 species